CUGCCUCAGAUUUUAGAGUCCAUUUUGGGACUCACCGCCUCUAGUGGGUUUUGCUUUAAUUUGGGCCACUGUGGACCAUUUCUAUUUCUAAGAACACUCCCUUGUUCUCCCACGCGAGCACAUCUGAGACCUGCCGUGCUGGGCCUUUGGGAGUGUCUGUGAGCGCAUGAGCGUGUAUGCAGUCAGGAGUCACCUGGGGAGCUGGCCCGGGGCUCUCACAUGAAAGCCCAACCAGCCACAGCCACAGUCGCCCUGCUAUUCCUAUCAAGACCUUGCAUAACAAGAAAUUGUUCACAUGCCAAGGCUAGAAAGGCAACAGACUCUGCAAAGCCAAGCUUUCAUUGACCUUAUAACCAGAGGGCCUAGCUUGU
rnacentral:lncRNA from 1 species